AGAGUUUGAUCCUGGCUCAGGACGAACGCUGGCGGCGUGCUUAACACAUGCAAGUCGAGCGGUAAGGCCCCUUCGGGGGUACACGAGCGGCGAACGGGUGAGUAACACGUGAGCAACCUACCCUCAACUUUGGGAUAAGCCUCGGAAACGGGGUCUAAUACCGGAUAUGAUCUCCUGCUUCAUGGUGGGGGGUUGAAAGUUCUGGCGGUUGGGGAUGGGCUCGCGGCCUAUCAGCUUGUUGGUGGGGUAAUGGCCUACCAAGGCGUCGACGGGUAGCCGGCCUGAGAGGGCGACCGGCCACACUGGGACUGAGACACGGCCCAGACUCCUACGGGAGGCAGCAGUGGGGAAUAUUGCGCAAUGGACGAAAGUCUGACGCAGCAACGCCGCGUGAGGGAUGACGGCCUUCGGGUUGUAAACCUCUUUCAGCAGGGACGAAGCGAGAGUGACGGUACCUGCAGAAGAAGGACCGGCCAACUACGUGCCAGCAGCCGCGGUAAUUC
rnacentral:rRNA from 1 species